ACACAUUUCCUUACUAAAAAUAAACAUUAAAGGUCACUGCUUUUAUGGACUCGACUCUUGAGAGAUUUCCAAAAUGGAAACUCACUGAAAAUCUGGUCCUACUUUGUCCUAAUCGCGGGCUCUCCCAGCUGAUGACUCUCCACUGCAAAAAUGCACGUAGGCACGGAAGCUAUUUUCCAAAGAAUCUAAGCUGAAAGUUCAGUUGAACUGACUCUGUACCACCAUGGUGUUUAAGCAUGACUCAACCAACGGAUAAAGUUAAUGGAGUCAAAAAACGUAUAAGACUCUUGCCAAGGGUGCCAGUGAAAAGGAGUCCCUUCUGGAAGGACACUCAGAGAAAGCUUGGGACCUGUCCCCGAGGCUGCUGAGUGCUGUGUGUGACCCCGGACAGCUCAGUUGAGUGCCUCUCUCCCACCAGUGGCAGCAACACAGCGGGCUGCCCUAAUCACGGUGGCUGCAGCAGAAAGGCCCUAGAGUGGGCAGCGUUCUGGAGCAGCCAAGGUGAGGUUUGGGCAGAGACGAUGGAGAACAGGGAUUUCAGGCACGUG
rnacentral:lncRNA from 1 species